GUAGGUGGCAAGCGUUGUCCGGAAUUAUUGGGCGUAAAGCGCGCGCAGGCGGUCCUUUAAGUCUGAUGUGAAAGCCCACGGCUCAACCGUGGAGGGUCAUUGGAAACUGGGGGACUUGAGUACAGAAGAGGAAAGCGGAAUUCCAAGUGUAGCGGUGAAAUGCGUAGAGAUCUGGAGGAACACCAGUGGCGAAGGCGGCUUUCUGGUCUGUAACUGACGCUGAGGCGCGAAAGCGUGGGGAGCAAACAGGGAUUAGAUACCCUGGUAGUCCACGCCGUAAACGAUGAGUGCUAAGUGUUAGGGGGUUUCCGCCCCCUUAGUGCUGCAGCUAACGCAUUAAGCACUCCGCCUGGGGAUACGGCCGCAAGGCUG
rnacentral:rRNA from 1 species